GAUGAACGCUGGCGGCGUGCCUAAUACAUGCAAGUCGAGCGAACGGACGAGAAGCUUGCUUCUCUGAUGUUAGCGGCGGACGGGUGAGUAACACGUGGAUAACCUACCUAUAAGACUGGGAUAACUUCGGGAAACCGGUGCUACUACCGGAUAAUAUUUUGAACCGCAUGGUUCAAAAGUGAAAGACGGUCUUGCUGUCACUUAUAGAUGGUUCCGCGCUGCAUUAGCUAGUUGGUAAGGUAACGGCUUACCAAGGCAACGAUGCAUAGCCGACCUGAGAGGGUGAUCGGCCACACUGGAACUGAGACACGGUCCAGACUCCUACGGGAGGCAGCAGUAGGGAAUCUUCCGCAAUGGGCGAAAGCCUGACGGAGCAACGCCGCGUGAGUGAUGAAGGUCUUCGGAUCGUAAAACUCUGUUAUUAGGGAAGAACAUAUGUGUAAGUAACUGUGCACAUCUUGACGGUACCUAAUCAGAAAGCCACGGCUAACUACGUG
rnacentral:rRNA from 1 species